rnacentral:rRNA from 1 species
UACGUAGGCAGUGAGCGUUGUUCGGAGUUACUGGGCGUAAAGGGUGUGUGGGCGGUUUGGUAAGUCUGGUGUGAAAUCUCCCGGCUCAACUGGGAGGGUGCGCCGGAAACUGCCGGACUAGAGUGCGGGAGAGGAGAGUGGAAUUCCUGGUGUAGCGGUGAAAUGCGUAGAUAUCAGGAGGAACACCGGUGGUGUAGACGGCUCUCUGGACCGUAACUGACGCUGAGACACGAAAGCGUGGGUAGCAAACAGG